rnacentral:rRNA from 1 species
AGUGAACGCUGGCGGUAUGCCUAACACAUGCAAGUCGAACGGCAGCACAGUAAGAGCUUGCUCUUACUGGUGGCGAGUGGCGGACGGGUGAGGAAUACAUCGGAAUCUACUUUUUCUUGGGUGAUAACGUAGGGAAACUUACGCUAAUACCUCAUACUACCUACGGGUGAAAGCAGAGGAUCUUCAGACCUUUCGCGAUUGAAUGAGUCGAUGUCGGAUUAGCUAGUUGGCGGGGUAAAGGCCCACCAAGGCGACGAUCCGUAGCUGGUCUGAGAGGAUGAUCAGCCACACUGGAACUGAGACACGGUCCAGACUCCUACGGGAGGCAGCAGUGGGGAAUAUUGGACAAUGGGCGCAAGCCUGAUCCAGCCAUACCGCGUGGGUGAAGAAGGCCUUCGGGUUGUAAAGCCCUUUUGUUGGGAAAGAAAAGCAGCAGGUUAAUACCCCGCUGUUCUGACGGUACCCAAAGAAUAAGCACCGGCUAACUUCGUG